GCAUAGAUACCUUUGUCUCACUAGAGGGGACUUAGUGCUUUGGGAGCACUAGGUCGCAGGUUCGAAUCCUGUCGCC
rnacentral:tRNA from 6 species